GUUUGGAGGCAGGGAUGUUGGAAUGAUGUCCCCCCAUAGAUGAGUAACUCUUGGCAUCUGACAGCUGAUGUGAGAGGAAGAGCCGGGUUUUCUUAAGAGAAUGACCACUGGAGGACACUCUCCUGCUAUGCCAUACAUUUGUGUCCAGAAGGCGACUUGAGGGGAAAGAAGAAACCAUGUAAUUCAAGCUCUUUGCACACAAAAAUGAAAAAAUUGGAUGAGUGGUAAAGGUACUUAUCCGGAGCUGAUGAUGAUAAUGUUAGCACGCACUGACUUCACAAAGAAAACAGCACCUCAUCUUCUCUGGGUUACCUGACU